AUUAAACCCACUGUAUUUACUUCAUGUUUUGGGCCCACCAGGUCUCAGAGCACCAAUCAGGGUCCUGCUCCAGACCACAUGAUCAACCAGGAUGAAAUGCAAGGCAGAGAGUAUGCUUCUCUUCUCCAUGGUGACGUCUGUCUCUACGAAACAAUCAGAGGCUCUGAAGAACCUGAACACGGGAGGAAUAAUGAGCCAGAGGAGAACGAAUACUCAAAUGUGACGACAGGAUCAGCUGCAGAUCAAUAAAGAGAUCUGCAUCAACAAAACCCACAGAAUGGAUGACAUGAUAAACUAAACCUUUGUUUAAACAGUAUUUGCAGCUUUUAUUUACAUAUAAAUAUAUUCAUAUACAUAUAUAUAUAUAUAUAUAUACAGGGUGUAAAAUUAACACUCGCCAAGCGCCAAUGGCGGGUAAAAAAUGAGUUUGGCGUGUAAAACAAAAACACACACCCGCCAGUGGCCGAUGGAAAAUUUUGAAUUGCAUGUGGGUUUUUUAUGUGCUUCCACCAUUUCUGCCAGCUGUGUCCAGGGACGGUUUUUGCUAUGGGCAAUGUGGGCGACCGCCCAGUGUGCAAUCUAUGUGAGGGCGCAUGAGCGCCCUCGAAAAAAACAACAACAACAACUAAAAAAACUCGCCAGUUUUAUAGACUACCGCUCAUUUCCACGUCAAGUUAGUGGAGUGGGCACUGAGGUGCCCCUAUUAUCACGUUUCAACCAGCAGCAGAAAGGAAAUGCGAAUCCUGGAGGUUGUGGGUUGAACAAGGGUCACAGACAGGAACAUGGCGGAGGUUCAUAGUGCUCUGCGGCGCAAGAUAACGGCUUACCAGCCGUCUCCGACUAAGUCUGACUCCAGGUCCAGUAAUUUCCUCUUUCGUUGGUGUCAUGACUGCCCAGUAGUACCUGGACAACCGAGCCGUGGCGGUACACAGGUAUGUGGCGUGUCAGAGGGGAAACGAACCGUUCACAUUUCCACAAACCUCACCGCACUUUUGUUCUUUACUUAUGGAGGGACUGUCAGGGGAGGAGGGUGGCUGGUUGAUUUUUAUUUUAUUUUGAUCCCCCCUGUGUUAAUCACUUACUGAUGCUGUUUUUGAAGUAUGAAUAAGUCAAUCAGUAAUUUAUUCCAUUGAAAUAUCAUUGAUGUAUUAUAGAAAAGUGAUUUAUCUUUUUUAUAAAUGACAAAAGGCACAUCUGCCUCACUUUUGCAGUGGUAUCGUGAUACUACUUCUGCAGCCUUUGCCGCAAGCACGCCAAAGAAACACAGAGGACAGGGUUGGAUUUUC